GGAUGUGAGAGCAAUCUGGCUGCAACAUCUGUCACCCAUUGAUCUCCUGGGUUGAUUCCACUGAUCUAGAUGGCUAAGAGGGCAUCCCCUUCCUCCCUCACUACUCCAUGUGUGUCCCUCCCAAAGCAGUGCACUUACAGUCAGAGGACAACCACUCUCAUUAGAGGAAAACCGUUUCUUUGGUCAAGAAUAUAUGAGUAGCUGUGCUCCCCUGCCAAAAUGGUUCAAAUAGUUAAAUUUGCAUUAUUUUAAUUUUACCACAAUAAAAAAGAAAAUAUAUUAAUUGUUCCAUUUCUAGACAUUCUAUUUGCUUUU
rfam:Fukomys damarensis contig95602, whole genome shotgun sequence.